rnacentral:rRNA from 1 species
UACGAAGGGGGCUAGCGUUGCUCGGAAUCACUGGGCGUAAAGGGUGCGUAGGCGGGUCUUUAAGUCAGGGGUGAAAUCCUGGAGCUCAACUCCAGAACUGCCUUUGAUACUGAGGAUCUUGAGUUCGGGAGAGGUGAGUGGAACUGCGAGUGUAGAGGUGAAAUUCGUAGAUAUUCGCAAGAACACCAGUGGCGAAGGCGAUCACCAGGGGUUGUUCUGACGCUGAGGAGCGAAAGCUAGGGGAGCAAACAGG